rnacentral:lncRNA from 1 species
GCAUUAUAAAGCUAAAAAAUCUACAAUUGUUCUUUUGUUUUAAUUUUCUCAGCUGUAAUCAGAUACACACCAGAAGAACAGAACUGAAGCCUUAUCAAUUCUUCUGGCCUUUUCUGAAAUAUCGGUUUCUUCACACAAACACAAUAAUAGACCAAUAUUCAUUGGGCUCAUGCUUUUUUUUUUCUAAUUAUGAGCCUAUUAGAAGCCCUGCCUAUCUCCAUGGUAACCAUAUAGCUCUUCAUCAGCUGUAAAUUAACCCCUGAUUAGCUGCUUGUCGUCUCCUAAAGAUGCUAUUCGACCUGCCCAGAUGCUUAGCCACGGCUACAGAGUCUCAUACCAACGAAGGAGAAAAGAAACCACUUUGGGCCAAGUCUAUAGAUCAUAAAUGUGAUGAAUGGGUCCCAUCUGUAAGUGCUUAUACAUUCUAUACAUAAAGGUAGUGCUCCAGUGUACGGCCCUAAAUCUCUUAUGUCAGAUACAUUCCCUUUUAUGUCAGAUACACAUAUAAUGUUUUGCAGAGCAUUCCUUCCCAUCAUGUUAAUAUGUUCUGGAAUAAACAUGGUUCAGGAGAAGUAGAGAGAUACUCUAUCAAGCCACCUCCUGAGCUUCUCGUACAUGCUGGCCCAGUACUCUACCAACUGAGCUACAUCCCCAGCCCCUCCUGAGCUUCUCGUGAUUGAGAGACAGGAAGUCCCAAAUAUCUCAGCAGAUAAAGACUGUACCUCACUAUUUCCCGAAGAGAAACUCACUCUUAAAGGAGACAGAAGCUUGGAUCUGGAUCAAGGGAGCAACCUUAGCUCCUCCUUUGAGAAUCACCAAUCUCUGUUUGAGGUCAUGCAAAUGUUCAC